CCUACGGGUAGCAGCAGUGGGGAAUAUUGGACAAUGGGCGAAAGCCUGAUCCAGCCAUGCCGCGUGUGUGAAGAAGGCCUUCGGGUUGUAAAGCACUUUCAGUGGGGAAGAAAGCCUUGGGGCUAAUACCCUCGAGGAAGGACAUCACCCACAGAAGAAGCACCGGCUAACUCCGUGCCAGCAGCCGCGGUAAUACGGAGGGUGCGAGCGUUAAUCGGAAUUACUGGGCGUAAAGCGCGCGUAGGCGGUCUGAUAAGCCGGUUGUGAAAGCCCCGGGCUCAACCUGGGAACGGCAUCCGGAACUGUCAGGCUAGAGUGCAGGAGAGGAAGGUAGAAUUCCCGGUGUAGCGGUGAAAUGCGUAGAGAUCGGGAGGAAUACCAGUGGCGAAGGCGGCCUUCUGGACUGACACUGACGCUGAGGUGCGAAAGCGUGGGUAGCAAACAGGAUUAGAUACCCGAGUAGUC
rnacentral:rRNA from 1 species